ACCGUGCGCUGGAUUAUG
rnacentral:snRNA from 1 species